GAUUAAUGCACGUUAAACCUACAGUUGUUUUUAUACAGUAUAAUUUAUGCAAUGUGUAUUACAAUAGUGGCUUGUCACCUUCCUUCCCGCCUGAGCCCUCAGUGGAGGAUUCAUAAUGCCCAUAAAACCUAGCGGUCAAGCAGGGAAAUGGUUCCAAUCGUUUUUCCCAUAAGGGAUUUGAGAAACACUUAAAAUAAGGGCUGCAAGCUCCUGGACAUUAUCUCCAGCUGGAACCUUUGCAAACAGGUCUGCAAUAAGGAGUCCAACAGACAAUGUGAUGUCCCCAUGUACAAGACAGCUCAUGAAGAAAGCUAUCAAGGACAUACCGUCAUCUCCCAGACCCAGACGGGAAGCAAAAGAGAACACUGCAAAUAAAUGAAUUACCUUUUUAUGUACAGUGUGAUGUCUUUACGGUAUUCCUCUCUCUGCUAAGAUGGGCAGAUAAAUUAAUCAUUGACACUUUCCUGACAUUCUACCGUCUUUUUAAUAUGUUCUUACUAACCAAGCUGCUCACACUUUAUUGAUCCAUUAUGCAAUGUGGUGUAUAUGGGGGGGUUAUAUUCUUCAUUUAUAUGGUGUAUAGGGGGGUUAUAUUCUUCAUUAAUAUGGGGCUGUUAUAUUCUUCAUUAAUAUGGUGUAUACGGGGGGUUAUAUUCUUCAUUAAUAUGGUGUAUACGGGGGGUUAUAUUCUUCAUUAAUAUGGUGUAUACGGGG
rnacentral:lncRNA from 1 species